CCUACGGGAGGCAGCAGUGAGGAAUAUUGGUCAAUGGGCGAGAGCCUGAACCAGCCAAGUCGCGUGAGGGAGUACGGCCCUACGGGUUGUAAACUUCUUUUAUAAAGGAAUAACGCGAGGUACGUGUGCCUUUUUGUAUGUACUUUAUGAAUAAGGACCGGCUAACUCCGUGCCAGCAGCCGCGGUAAUACGGAGGGUCCGAGCGUUAUCCGGAUUUAUUGGGUUUAAAGGGAGCGUAGGUGGGUUGUUAAGUCAGUUGUGAAAGGUUUGGGCUCAACCGUAGACUUGCAGUGGGAACUGGCAGGCUUGAGUACGGUUAAGGUAGGCGGAAUUCGUGGUGUAGCGGUGAAAUGCUUAGAUAUGACGAAGAACUCCGAUUGCGAAGGCAGCUUACUAAACUGCCACUGACGUUGAUGCUCGAAAGUGUGGGUAUCAAACAGGAUUAGAUACCCCAGUAGUC
rnacentral:rRNA from 1 species